rnacentral:rRNA from 1 species
GACGAACGCUGGCGGCGUGCUUAACACAUGCAAGUCGAACGGUAAGGCCCUUCGGGGUACGCGAGUGGCGAACGGGUGAGUAACACGUGGGUGAUCUGCCCUGCACUUCGGGAUAAGCCUGGGAAACUGGGUCUAAUACCGGAUAGGACCACUGCCUGCAUGGGUGGUGGUGGAAAGCUUUUGCGGUGUGGGAUGGGCCCGCGGCCUAUCAGCUUGUGGGUGGGGUGAUGGCCUACCAAGGCGACGACGGGUAGCCGGCCUGAGAGGGUGACCGGCCACACUGGGACGGGGAUACGGCCCAGACUCGUACGGGAGGCAGCAGUGGGGAAUAUUGCACAAUGGGCGCAAGCCUGAUGCAGCGACGCCGCGUGAGGGAUGACGGCCUUCUGGUUGUAAACCUCUUUCAGCACCGAUGAAUCGCAAGUGACUGUAGGUGCAGAAGAAGGACCGGCCAACUACGUGCCAGCCGCCGCCGUAA